CUGCUCGGCGGCCUGCGGGCCGCUCGCACACUGCCAGCUCCCCCCUCACGCUGCUCCCAGUUGCUAAAUGGCAUUAGAAGCAGCUAAAAAUACUUCAAGCGGUUCUCUCGUUUAGUUUUCCGUGCCGGCCGUUGUGUUGGCGGCGGGGAUGUUCUCCAGUGGUCGCUUCUCCACCCACGGGUGGGCAGGUAAUCAGUUCAUUAAUUAGUCCGUGCCAGGCAGGAGAAAACCCUCUGCCAGCCAAAGACCACUGCCUUCAUGGGAUCAAUCAUGGCAAGCAGGUACAGCUGGUGGCCAGGUCACGCCACACCUUCAAAGAGACCUCAAGGAUGACCAGGUGUUAUCUGGUACUUCUCAUAACACAGCAAGUCCGGAGCUGCCUCCUGCAAACCGACUGCAACAGGCUCAGCAGUGCCAGACAGCACGAGUAACACUGGCCUGGAGGGGAGCCAGAAACCCUUCCUCCCUUGGAAGAGAAGCAUGUGAAAAACUAAAGAAGCGUUUGCUGAACUUGACAUGUAAAACAAUGGGCUGGUUUUGGCUGGAGUAGAGUUAAUUUUCUUCACAGUGGUUAGUAUGGGACUGUGCUCUGGAUCUGUGCUGAGCAUAGGGUUGACAAUACAGAAAAGGUUUUGUUAUUGCUGAGCACAGCUGACACACAGCCGAAGUAUUUUCUGCUUCUUGUACUGAUACGCUGGCAAAGAAGUUGGAGGAAGAGACACAGCUGGGACAGGUGACCCCAAGUGACCGAAGAGAGAUUCCAGACCAUAUGACAUCAUGGGAAGUGAACGACUGCCUGUGUGAGGCUUGGUUGCUGGCUGGGGUUAAACCCCAAACAGCAAUGCAAACAAAGCAGGCAUCCUGACUGACCGAGGGCAGGACACGAGGACAGAGCACCCACUGACAGCCAUAAAUACACUGGGGACAAGUGAGCAGCAGACAUCAGGGCACACCUGCCCACAGUUACUUUGGGCAGAGUCCCAGAAGGCCGAAAAUCAAGGGUCAACAGAUUUCCUCUGCCAUGGAGAAAGAACUGCUCUCACAAAUAAAUGCAGCUACUCAAUUAAUUUGGUUUAAAUAGAGAUUAAUUACACUGAACACUUCACUAAGACUGAACAGAGUGCUGCUUGCACCCAGCUCCCUGCAAAGGCAGGCUCCAGGUUUGAUCUGUGCUCUCCACCACUGCCAGGAGAGCAGUGCCAGUGAGAGCAGGGAUGACACUGAUGCAGGAAUUUUGCCAGUUUUCCACCAACAGGCACGAUGGUUUUGGGGUUUUUUUCUCCUUUUCAAUCCAGGAAAAGAAACAUCUAGUUCUUCCAAUUAGCAGGAAAAGGGAAGGAAUGUCCGUCUGUUUAACACCUGAGGGCAAGAAACAGCCUUUUGAAAGAAAGGUUGGGUGGGGGUUUUUUGUUUUUUAAAUCACAGCCACCUACUGUGGGUCUGCAGAUGCCACCAGCUCACUUUGAAUUUCUGCAGCCCCACCAGACCAAGCAGGGUAAGCAGCCCCUUCAGAUGGUCACUCCGGGGAGUUUAGCCCUAUCAGGACAGCUCAGAGACACCUGGAAUCCAUAAGGAACAUUCUGGGUAGAGUCUGAACAAAGUCAGUGGCUCCGGGACCCAGAACUUCCCAAGAUGUGACCUGUCCUUGGGAAACUGUCAAAGUCAUCUUAAAAGCAGUUAGAGGCUGGUGCUCUGCCCACACCACCUACUAUCUACAUGCUAUCACGAGUCAGGUUUCACAAACCAACUAUGUAGACAUCAGGUCUACGAAAGCACUGACCUCUCCAGCAACAGCAAGAUUGCAUCUGCACUGCCAGGAGCUUUGCCACACACAUCACAGGGCUAGAGGGGCAGCAGCCACUGAGGAACACUCAGGUACAAAGCAGCACCAAAGGGAAACGAUUAUGAAAAGCUUCCACACAGAUUUAUAGCAGUAGUCUGUGUUUAUACCUCUAACACCAAAGAGACAUAAAAGGAAACAAGUUCUCUAUGUCCCACACCACAAAUAACCCAUUUUACACCUCUUAUCAAGCAAGCAGUGAGUUGACCAGCUGUGCGCUGCUUUCAGAAAUGCCUAGGUACUUCAGCAAGAUAUAACCUGCUAUUUAUGCAUACUCUUAAUUAGGUCCUAAACCUCGUCUAAAUAAAUAUUAAAGUGAACUCCUGGGUAAUUAUGGUGAAGGAGCAGCCUUUUAAUGCCACUAGAAUAGCAAUGAUACAGAUAAAAUGCCUGCUGGAAUGGACAUUUCCUUGAAAAAAAGAAGUUUGCAUAUCUGCUGUUCCAGAAAAAAAAAAUAAAUGUGGCCAAAAUAUCCAUGUGAGAUGCUAUAAAACCCCAAAUGACUCCCAUGCCCUUCCAGUGAGGAUGAGUUCCACUUGCUGUCACAUAGCCCAGAGCAGGGACACAUCUGCCUGCACCACACAGCUGCUUCACUUUACAAUUCAAGGCCAACAUUUUGUAGGAUCAGUAAUCCCCAACAGCAAAGAAAUCACUACACUUACAGAAACAAAUUUGCCACAGCUUUUAGGACACCUUUUCACAAAGAUGCUAGGAAGUUUCUGUCUGCACUGUGAUCUAAAGCCACUUGCUAAGAUGGUGUGAGAAUAAAGCACAAUCUAUCAAAUCACUACAAAAACCUAACAAAGAAGUUGAUGCACUUCAGACAUGAACAACCAUGUGUCCACACAUCAUCCCAUCAGCAUUCAUGUGUCUACACGUGGUUCCAUUCAGCCCACUGAAGCCUCCCCAAGCUGUCCUCCACCAGUUUAGUGAGCAGAGAGGUGCCACCAAGCAGAAAUCACCAGUUUCCACCAUUGCCCCAGUGGGAUACUUGUCCAAGCACAUGGCUCAUUCCCUCACACACAUUUAUCUUGUUCCCACCGAUAGCCAGGCGCCCAGGUAACGGCCUGUCCAAACCACUUACUCUCCUGAUGGAAAACACGCCACUUAUCACCUGAAACACCAUCUGAAAUCAAAGCUUUGGCAAGUGACUCUUUUCUGGAGACACAAUACACACCACAGGCCUCCUACCCUGGUGCCAGACCUCAGCCUCCAGCUUUAUCACUUGGCCCAUGGGACUCCAGCACCCUGUGCUGAUCCCACAGGUGACGUUCUCCACUCUGGGAAAGCUCAACACCAGCAGUGGGACUGGUGGUUACAUCUGCCCACACCUGCUGAGCAGCAAGAGGGGAGAUCCGGAGCCUCUAAACACAGCCCAUGCCAAAACCACAUGAAUUCACAGGGGGAACGUGAAACUACAGCAGGUGUAGCACCCCACUCCAGGUUUAAUUUGAAAUUCAGUCACACUUGAGGUGCACCACACUUUAAAGCUGUACACAGCACGCCUCCUUUAAAGACUUCCACCACCCUCUCUGAAAUACCCCGCACAGCAGGAUUACAUUUAAAACACAACUUUGCAAGACCUGUUGCUUUCCAAGCAAGGCCAGACACAGACUCCCUGUGCCCCUGGAACAGCAACAUAACCCAGGCCAUACUUUCAGCAUGUCACUGCAGAAAGCCCUUCUUUUGUCAAAUAAUCUUACCUUGCUCAUCACUUUUCUCAAACAGACAACAGCUUUAGAGCUUCAAAUGGAAGCCCUGUCAGCAUGAUGUACUCCUGACAUUCUCCAAAGCUCACCAAGUCAUCUUAAACAAUAAUAUAUAAAAUAAGGACUAGGUCAAACCUUCCCAAUACUGGACUUAAGGGGAAGUCUGCUCACGUUCUGAUCCUACACUGAUGAGGACUGGACUCAAAUGCAAGACUAUUUAUUAGAGACCAUUUUACAAAGCAGGCAGAGUGAAGGGGCGAGAGUAUUUUAACUGCAACCAGUCAGACGUUUCUCAUUAAAAUAUUUCUAGGAGAAGUAAACGGGCCUGCAAUUUUAUUCAAACAGAUGUAGGCUAAAUGCAUAUCAUUAGUCUGACAAUACAAAAGCACAAGCGACUGAAAUGAUUUUAAUUUUGUCAGUGAAAAGGAUAAUGUAUGCAUAUCUGGAGGGCACACCAAUGGUAAAGAUUACCCCCAGCUUCUA